rnacentral:rRNA from 1 species
AACGAACGCUGGCGGCAGGCUUAACACAUGCAAGUCGAACGAGUGGCGGACGGGUGAGUAAUGCUUGGGAAUCUGGCUAAUGGCGGGGGAUAACUACGGGAAACGGUAGCUAAUACCGCAUACCAUAGGAUGAGCCCACGUGGUAUUAGGUAGUUGGUGAGGUAAAGGCUCACAAAGGCGACGAUCUCUAGCUGGUCUGAGAGGAUGACCAGCCACACGGGGACUGAGACACAGUCCAGACUCAUACGUGAGGGAGCAGUGGGGAAUAUUGCGCAAUGGGGGCAACCUGACGCAGCCAUGCCGCGUGAAUGAAGAAGGCCUUCGGGUUGUAAAGUUCUUUCGGUAGCGAGGCGUUAACUACAGAAGAAGCACCGGCUAACUCCGUGCCAGCCGCCGCGGUAAUUC